rnacentral:rRNA from 1 species
UGGGGAAUCUUGGACAAUGGGGGCAACCCUGAUCCAGCCAUGCCGCGUGAGUGAUGAAGGCCUUAGGGUCGUAAAGCUCUUUCGCCUGUGAAGAUAAUGACGGUAGCAGGUAAAGAAACCCCGGCUAACUCCGUGCCAGCAGCCGCGGUAAUACGGAGGGGGUUAGCGUUGUUCGGAAUUACUGGGCGUAAAGCGCACGUAGGCGGACCAGAAAGUUGGGGGUGAAAUCCCGGGGCUCAACCCCGGAACUGCCUCCAAAACUAUUGGUCUAGAGUUCGAGAGAGGUGAGUGGAAUUCCAAGUGUAGAGGUGAAAUUCGUAGAUAUUUGGAGGAACACCAGUGGCGAAGGCGGCUCACUGGCUCGAUACUGACGCUGAGGUGCGAAAAGUGUGGGGAGCAAAACAGGAUUAGAUACCCUGGUAGUCCACACCGUAAAACGAUGAAUGCCAGUCGUCGGGUAGCAUGCUAUUCGGUGACACACCUAACGGAUUAAGCAUUCCGCCUGGGGAGUACGGUCGCAAGAUU